rnacentral:misc_RNA from 1 species
AAGUCGUAACAAGGUUUCCGUAGGUGAACCUGCGGAAGGAUCAUUACAGUGUCUUGGAGGCCGAUGUUCCGGCGCUUCCCCACGGGGGCGUCCGGGCUCGUGCCCCCUCCACACGUGUUUACUACACUCUGUUGCCUUGGUGGGUCUGCCCUUGUGGCUGCCGGGGAUCACCGCGUGUGUCCCGGGCCCGUACCCACCGAUGGACACCCUGAACUCUUUGUGAAUAUAGUGUUGUCUGAGCGUUUAGCAAAUUAAACAAAACUUUCAACAAUGGAUCUCUUGGUUCUG